CUACGGGAUGCUGCAGUUACGAAAACUUCGCAAUGCUCUAACGAGCGACGAGGGAACUUGGAGUGUUCAUGCUCUGCAUGAACUUUUGUUCACUUCAAACAGGUGGACUAAUAAGGGGUGGGUAAUACGAGUGCCAGCCGCCGCGGUAAUACUCGAGCCCCAAGUGGGUAUCCACAAUUAGUUGGUCUAAAGCGUCCGUAGCCGGUUUGGUAAGUUCCUAGUGAAAUCCUUUGGUAAACUGAAGGGCUUGCUGGGAAUACUACCAGACUUGGGACUGAGAGAGGGUAGAGGUACUCCCGGGGGAGGGGUAAAAUCCUAUAAUCCUGGGGGGACCACCUGUGGCGAAGGCUUCUACCUAGAGCAGGUUCGACGGUGAGGGACGAAACCUAGGGGAGCGAUUGGGAUUAGAUACCCUGGUAGUC
rnacentral:rRNA from 1 species